rnacentral:rRNA from 1 species
CCUACGGGAGGCAGCAGUGGGGAAUUUUGGACAAUGGGCGCAAGCCUGAUCCAGCCAUUCCGCGUGAGUGAAGAAGGCCUUCGGGUUGUAAAGCUCUUUCGCGAGGGAAGAAAACUUACCAUCGAAUAAAUGGUGAGGCUGACGGUACCUUGAUAAGAAGCACCGGCUAACUACGUGCCAGCAGCCGCGGUAAUACGUAGGGUGCGAGCGUUAAUCGGAAUUACUGGGCGUAAAGCGUGCGCAGGCGGUUUUGUAAGUCAGAUGUGAAAUCCCCGAGCUCAACUUGGGAACUGCGUUUGAAACUACAAGACUAGAAUAUGUCAGAGGGGGGUAGAAUUCCACGUGUAGCAGUGAAAUGCGUAGAGAUGUGGAGGAAUACCAAUGGCGAAGGCAGCCCCCUGGGAUAAUAUUGACGCUCAUGCACGAAAGCGUGGGGAGCAAACAGGAUUAGAUACCCUGGUAGUCCACGCCCUAAACGAUGUCUACUAGUUGUUGGUGGGGUAAAAUCCAUGAGUAACGCAGCUAACGCGUGAAGUAGACCGCCUGGGGAGUACGGUCGCAAGAUUAAAACUCAAAAUGAAUUGACGG